rnacentral:piRNA from 1 species
UCCGUGGAAACAGGUGUGAUGGGCACA